rnacentral:rRNA from 1 species
GGGGGGGGCCCGCUUUACAUGCAAGUCGAACGAUGAAGGAGGAGCUUGCUCCUCCGGAUUAGUGGCGAACGGGUGAGUAAUACGUGAGCAAUGUGCCCUUGACUCUGGGAUAAGCGCUGGAAACGGCGUCUAAUACCGGAUACGACCACCGGAGGCAUCUCCUGGUGGUGGAAAGAACUUCGGUCAAGGAUCAGCUCACGGCCUAUCAGCUAGUUGGUGAGGUAAUGGCUCACCAAGGCGACGACGGGUAGCCGGCCUGAGAGGGUGACCGGCCACACUGGGACUGAGACACGGCCCAGACUCCUACGGGAGGCAGCAGUGGGGAAUAUUGCACAAUGGGCGCAAGCCUGAUGCAGCAACGCCGCGUGAGGGACGAAGGCCUUCGGGUUGUAAACCUCUUUUAGCAGGGAAGAAGCGAGAGUGACGGUACCUGCAGAAAAAGCACCGGCUAACUACGUGCCAGCAGCCGCGGUAAUACGUAGGGUGCAAGCGUUGUCCGGAAUUAUUGGGCGUAAAGAGCUCGUAGGCGGUUUGUCACGUCUGCUGUGAAAACCCGAGGCUCAACCUCGGGCUUGCAGUGGGUACGGGCAGACUAGAGUGCGGUAGGGGAGAUUGGAAUUCCUGGUGUAGCGGUGGAAUGCGCAGAUAUCAGGAGGAACACCGAUGGCGAAGGCAGAUCUCUGGGCCGUAACUGACGCUGAGGAGCGAAAGCAUGGGGAGCAAACAGGCUUAGAUACCCUGGUAGUCCAUGCCGUAAACGUUGGGAACUAGAUGUGGGGACCAUUCCACGGUCUCCGUGU